GACGAACGCUGGCGGCGUGCCUAAUACAUGCAAGUCGAACGCUUCUUUCCUCCCGAGUGCUUGCGCUCAAUUGGAAAGAGGAGUGGCGGACGGGUGAGUAACACGUGGGUAACCUACCCAUCAGAGGGGGAUAACACUUGGAAACAGGUGCUAAUACCGCAUAACAGUUUAUGCCGCAUGGCAUAAGAGUGAAAGGCGCUUUUCGGGUGUCGCUGAUGGAUGGACCCGCGGUGCAUUAGCUAGUUGGUGAGGUAACGGCUCACCAAGGCCACGAUGCAUAGCCGACCUGAGAGGGUGAUCGGCCACACUGGGACUGAGACACGGCCCAGAUCCUACGGGAGGCAGCCAGUAGGGAAUUUUUCGGCAAUGGACGAAAGUUUGACCGAGCA
rnacentral:rRNA from 1 species